GAUGAAGAACGUAGCGAAAUGCGAUACGUAAUGUGAAUUGCAGAAUUCAGUGAAUCAUCGAAUCUUUGAACGCAUAUUGCGCUCUCUGGUAUUCCGGAGAGCAUGCUUGUUUGAGUAUCAGUAAACACCUCAACUUCCAUAUCUUUUUUCAAAUGGGAGUUGGACUUGAGUGAUCCCAACGCUUUUCCUCACCGAAAAGUGGCGGGUUACUUGAAAUGCAGGUGCAGCUGGACUUUUCUCUGAGCUAUAAGCAUAUCUAUUUAGUCUGCCUAAAAAACAGAUUAUUACCUUUGCUGCAGCUAACAUAAAGGAGAUUAGUUCUUGUGCUGACUGAUGCAGGAUUCACAAAGACAGGCUUCGGCCGACUUUGUAAACUCGAUCUCAAAUCAAGUAAGACUACCCGCUGAACUUAAGCAUAUCAAUAAGCGGAGGA
rnacentral:misc_RNA from 1 species